CCAACCCAUGUGUGUCCCAGCUGAGUCUGUCCACCAAACCACACCGGCAGCCAUUAGCAAGCCUGCGGACGCUUGACCUGUCUGCUUUUAGCCGUUUCCAUCACCGUUUUCCCUGGUUUACAUUUUGGAGUAGACGUCCAAAAGGAGUCAGUCUUGAACGUCCAGCCUUGACAAAGUCCAUUUGAAACUGUUAAGCAACAUUGCUGCCAAAGUAAGCCGACAUGUUUUGAAAUCAUCAACAUCAGUGACGCUCCCAGUUGGAUCCCCAAUGUGUGAAAAGUCAAAAUAUUGCCCCCCCCAAUUUACAGCACUCAAGUGUUUCCCAAACAGGGUAGUAUGUUUCUCCUCUUCUAGCCGCAGGAUAUUUAUAGCCGCGUCUUAUGUUAACUCUGCUGCCAUGCUUAUCUCUCUGUGUGUGUGUGUGUGUGUGUCCUGCCACUCUUUCUGAUUGUAGCUUAACCCUCUCAGUGACAGUGAGACUGUCUACCUUACAUUACUCUCAUUGGAUAUAUUCUUCCACUCCAUCGAGGAACCAUCACAAGGUCCACAGUGUCACUGUUUCCAUGUUUUGCUUCACACUUUGUGUCCUCGCUCACAUCACACCUGGCUGAGAUCUCCGUUCCCGACCUCGUCCCGUCAUGGCGCUCUCCUCACGCUUCGAUCUCUGUGAACAGAAGAGAGUUCAGCUCAACUAACCCGACUGUGGCCUAACCAGCACCAGUUCAACCUUUUGAGAUGAUUGUAAUCCAGACUCGGCCUCACACAGACCACACACUCACAUUAACUUGAAUGGGAAACUCAAAAGACUGCCUAUGUCUCGAAGUUCCUGUAAAGUCAUUCAGUUCACAUUGAAAGUGCCUUCUGGCAGCUAUUUUCAGUCUAGGUAUUAGACAUAAAAUGUACAGUUUCCGUGAUCAAGGGAAGACUGAAAUAUGUGCUUGUCAGUAUUACAUUUUAACUACAUUGUCAAAUCUAAUAGUAUCAUGAAUUGUAUCAAUAUCACAUAGUAUGACAAAAGUUUUGCUUAUUAGCCUCAAAUCACAUUAAAAAACUUUUUUACAUUGUAACAUAUGUAUUUAUUACUUGUUAAGUCUAAAGUACUUUAAUAUUUCAUAUCACAGUUUUAAGCAGGCUUUAAUUCUCACAGUGUGACCCGUGUUGCUGCUCAGGGUCUCUCUGUGGUGGUCCACUGCCUGCUACACAUUAGGAUGACAGUGAAGUUACUCUGAAGGGUUUUAACUCUUCUUGAAUCUGUUAUUAGCUCUUUAUUAUUCUAAACUAACCCUAGUAAACUACUUUUCCUAUUGUUCUCUAUACAACUAUACAACAGCAUACAGUCUUUCUAGGCAGUUGAAGUUAGCUGGUGUUGCUGCAUGAAGUGUAGUUAUUGUAGACCGAAUACUGAAGGACAUCUGCUGCCCUCGGCUCACACACGUUUAAUAUCACUGCUUGUGCUGCUAAUAGAGCAGCAAGGGCAUCAGUGGAACCUUUCAGUGCGUAUAUGGGACGCUUACUAAAAAUAUUGUGUCUUUAGUUGUCACCUUCAUGAAAAUUAAUCAUGGUUUUACUAUGGUUCGACUAUCUGUAGUAAUCUUAGCAGUGUAUGUAGCUUCUUAGCAUAAUGAGCUAACAAAUGAAAUAUCAGGCUUUAGUAAGUUAUCAUGCUGGAUGAGAGAAGUUAUUUUCCCCCCCAAAAAAGUAUUGAAUUGCCAUGUUUGUUUGUGCAUGUUUAUUAAUAUUAAAACAUGAAGAAUUUUCUUAUGAAAA